UCUCUCUCUCUCUCUCUCUCUCUCUCUCUCUCUGUGUGUGUGUGUGUGCGCGCACACACACACACACACACACAGAGCAUGGCAGGAAGAGUGAGGCUGCAGUUUCC